AUACGGAGGGUCCAAGCGUUAUCCGGAUUCAUUGGGUUUAAAGGGUCCGCAGGCGGGAAAAUAAGUCAGUGGUGAAAGCCUACAGCUCAACUGUAGAACUGCCAUUGAUACUGUUUUUCUUGAGUAUAGAUGAAGUGGGCGGAAUAUAUCAUGUAGCGGUGAAAUGCAUAGAUAUGAUAUAGAACACCGAUUGCGAAGGCAGCUUACUAAACUAUUAUUGACGCUGAGGGACGAAAGUGUGGGGAGCGAACAGGAUUAGAAACCCUAGUAGUCC
rnacentral:rRNA from 1 species